AUUGAACGCUGGCGGCAGGCCUAACACAUGCAAGUCGAACGGUAACAGGAAGCAGCUUGCUGUUUCGCUGACGAGUGGCGGACGGGUGAGUAAUGUCUGGGAAACUGCCUGAUGGAGGGGGAUAACUACUGGAAACGGUAGCUAAUACCGCAUAACGUCGCAAGACCAAAGAGGGGGACCUUCGGGCCUCUUGCCAUCGGAUGUGCCCAGAUGGGAUUAGCUAGUAGGUGGGGUAACGGCUCACCUAGGCGACGAUCCCUAGCUGGUCUGAGAGGAUGACCAGCCACACUGGAACUGAGACACGGUCCAGACUCCUACGGGAGGCAGCAGUGGGGAAUAUUGCACAAUGGGCGCAAGCCUGAUGCAGCCAUGCCGCGUGUAUGAAGAAGGCCUUCGGGUUGUAAAGUACUUUCAGCGGGGAGGAAGGGAGUAAAGUUAAUACCUUGGCUCAUUGACGUUACCCGCAGAAGAAGCACCGGCUAACUCCGUG
rnacentral:rRNA from 1 species